AGUGAACGCUGGCGGUAGGCCUAACACAUGCAAGUCGAACGGCAGCACAGGAGAGCUUGCUCUCUGGGUGGCGAGUGGCGGACGGGUGAGGAAUACAUCGGAAUCUACUCUGUCGUGGGGGAUAACGUAGGGAAACUUACGCUAAUACCGCAUACGACCUACGGGUGAAAGCAGGGGGCCUUCGGGCCUUGCGCGAUUGAAUGAGCCGAUGUCGGAUUAGCUAGUUGGCGGGGUAAAGGCCCACCAAGGCGACGAUCCGUAGCUGGUCUGAGGGGGUGGUCGGCCACACGGGAACGGCGACACGGUCCAGACUCCUACGGGAGGCAGCAGUGGGGAAUAUUGGACAAUGGGCGCAAGCCUGAUCCAGCAAUACCGCGUGGGUGAAGAAGGCCUUCGGGUUGUAAAGCCCUUUUGUUGGGAAAGAAAUCCAGCUGGCUAAUACCCGGUUGGGAUGACGGUACCCAAAGAAUAAGCACCGGCUAACUUCGUGCCAGCCGCCGCGGUAA
rnacentral:rRNA from 1 species